GAUUUACACACGUCUCGAUCACCGCUCAGCAGCGACAUCUAGCGAAUAUUGUGUGAAUCACUACCAGUCUGGUGAGUUGAGCUGGCCACCACCCCGCUCUUCUUCUUGGCCCUGCUCAUGGCCUCCUCCUUGAUGACCAGCAGUGCCCGCAGCCCGUGAGGACCGGGCUCGACCGGCAGGUGCACCGCGGAGUCCGGCCGCAGCUGGAUGGAGUAGUCCUUACGGAACUGCUGCAGGGACGACUUGGAGAAGGAACGCUCCAGAGAGACGAUGAUCUUGGCUUUCUGUAAUGGCAACAAGGAUACACAGGAUACAGUAAGCACUGUACUGUCAAGUCUAAGGGAUACAAAAUUGUGACCUGUCAACCACCUGAAAUGUAAAGGCAGUAUCACAUUGAUCAAAGAUGUGAGCUAUUGUGCUGUGUGUUUGUGCUGACCUCCUGGAAAGUGUUGGACAUCAUGGCGAUGAGCAUGUUGAGCAGCAUGAUGGGAACCAGCAUCAUGAACACCACAAACAGCAGCUUGGCGAGGGCGGGGAACUCUGC